GCGAGAAAACUUUGCAAUGUGCGAAAGCACGACAAGGUUAAUCCGAGUGUUUCCUGCUAAAGGAAUCUUUUGUUAGUCGUAGAAUCACUGACGAAUAAGGGGUGGGCAAGUUCUGGUGU
rnacentral:rRNA from 1 species